rnacentral:lncRNA from 1 species
CCCUUCAAGUGAGUACCCAAGCAGCAACUGCAACAUCACAUCACAGCAGCCAUUCAACCCCCUCCCUCCUUUUCUCUCUCUACCACCCAAGAGGGGAGAAGAAACAGAGAGGAGAAAAUUAAAAGAAUCUCCACCCUCCAAGAAGUCCAUCUCCCCCUAUCUUUCUUCCUGAUGGCCCAGCUGGAUCAGGAGUAAUGUGAAGGAAGGAAAACUAAGACCAAAACCAAAAAAGAGAAGGGAUGAAAGAUAAAGAGUGGCUUCAGACAUGUGUAUCAAGCCAACCAAAUCUCUCCUCUCUCUUUCUCUCCACCCAAAACAAAACUACUGUCCCCAACUUCCCAAAUUGCCCCUCUGCAGGACUCUCCACCCCCCUUCCAUCAAGGGGAAAGACUCGUAGCCAACUCCUGUUUCAGUUUUAUAUGGGGCCUUUGCUUCCUUUUGGUCAUGGUCGGACACAGAAAACAGGGCAAGGAACCUCCCUCCAUCGCCCCCUCUCUCUCUCUCU